AGGCAUUUGGUCUAGUGGUAUGAUUCUCACUUUGGGUGCGAGAGGUCUUUAGUUCGAUUCUUGAAAUGCCCC
rfam:Ipomoea nil DNA, scaffold: scaffold3169, cultivar: Tokyo-kokei standard.